rnacentral:rRNA from 1 species
UACGUAGGGUGCAAGCGUUGUCCGGAAUUAUUGGGCGUAAAGAGCUCGUAGGCGGUUUGUCGCGUCGAAUGUGAAAACCUGGGGCUCAACCCCGGGCCUGCAGCCGAUACGGGCAAGCUAGAGUUCGGUAGGGGAGACUGGAAUUCCUGGUGUAGCGGUGAAAUGCGCAGAUAUCAGGAGGAACACCGGUGGCGAAGGCGGGUCUCUGGGCCGAUACUGACGCUGAGGAGCGAAAGCGUGGGGAGCAAACAGG